GCCAGUGUGGUGUAGUGGUUUGAGUGUUGGACUAGAAAUCUGAAGACCAGCAUUCGAAUCCUGGCUCAGGCA